rnacentral:lncRNA from 1 species
CUCAGAUUAUUUGAUUUUGACUGUAGUUGAUGAGAAAUAUUUUAAUUCAUAUUAAAAUCUCAAACUUUUGAUUGGAGACUUUGUAUUUUGAGAUACAAUAUAUUUUCUGAAACUCUUAUUAGGCUUUGUCCACAUCUGUACAGAUAUUUAUAAAAAAUAAAUAAAUAAACAGUUUUCACUUCUUUUAAAACUAAACAUCUGUCCACACUAACAGCAUUUUAGACGACAAUGCAAAAACACACGUAACCCAAUUUUUGCAACUUAUUGCAAUGUAAAAUUUGUUAUAAACAUAUUAUCAACCUGUUUAGGUGAAUGACAUAACACAGAAUUUUUGAAGAAUAAGCUUUUUGAAAAAGAUCAGUUUUUAGUUAUCUAAAAUCCUGUUUACAUGUGAAUAACAUCUCUUAUAGAUGGCGACUGAGAGACACAUGAGAGAUUACUGGGGUGUUUUUUUUCUUUUUUUCAGGAUACACUUAUGCAAUUGUCCCUUAUUGCCAUUUAGAAGAAACUGAUUUUUAAAGAGAGUGAUUUUUCUUUCCUGUGGAGGAGUUCUCAUUACUCACUCUAUAUUGCAGAUUCUCAGCUAAUACUGGAGUUUCAGAGACCCAUCAGAGAGAGAGCCAGUGCACUGCUGCCCCAGAGACUCCCUCAGGCUUAUAGAUCAUUUCUUCCUAGUUUUAGGAACGACUCUGACAAUAACCUCCUGAUUCCCAUCAGCCCCGUGUCCGGCAGCAUUCCAUCACUCUUCGACGAUAUCGAUCUAGCUGUCUCUCUCGUCUGCCUCAUCAAUGCACACGUAUGACUAAGGACGACUGUGGGCUGACGUGCUGCAGCAUACGGACAAAAUGCAUUUCACCUCUGAUUCCAGCGCACUUGGCUUUUCUGUCUGAGCUCUGGAUGAAGCACUGCAUCAGUCAGGAAGAGGCUGCUCAUAAUUUCACGCUGAGCUUGUGUCAGAGUGUUUUGUCCUGUCAAGUGGAGCGGGUCUCCCAUCAGCCAGUGGGCAGCGCCAGCAGCUGGCCAACCCAUGGCAGAAAAGUCAGAUAAAAGGUUCAAAAUGAAGCACAUUCUGUAUGGAAUUUUAUACAACAGGAGAUCCCAGAUUAGUUUAUUCUAAUGGAUGUGGAUUAAACGCCCUCUUGUGGGCCGGAGUCAUAAAUCCUCAAAGAUAAAUACAAAACCUAUCUAUCCAUCUAUCUAUCUAUCCAUCCGUCCAUCCGUCCGUCAUUCUAUCUAUUGUUUUAUUUGUUCAAUCUAUUGUUAUAUCUGUCUAUCUACACUGUAAAAAAACCCCUGACAUUUACGGUAAAAAGUCUGUAAAACAUUUUAGGUUUUACAGACUUAACUUAAAUUCACAAUAAAAUACCUGUAUAUCUGUUUUGAACCAUUGUAAUGCACUGAUAACCACCAACAACUGGUGGUGAUGAGAAAGUCAUGAUGAGCAAAGCUUUUCUAUGAGCUGAAAAGGGCAAUACUUGUAUAUAGAAGGUGCACAGUGUCAUUCACAUAAACACUAAACCCCAUCAUGGUGACACACAUGAUACUGAAAUAAUGCAAUUAAUAUUAAUUUAACAACAUUAAAUGUAACAUAAUGUACACAACUGAUAAGAAAAAACUAAGAAGAAACAUGCAA